UUAAGCGACUAAGCGUACACGGUGGAUGCCCUGGCAGUCAGAGGCGAUGAAGGACGUGCUAAUCUGCGAAAAGCGUCGGUAAGGUGAUAUGAACCGUUACAGCCGGCGAUGUCCGAAUGGGGAAACCCAGUGUGAUUCGUCACACUAUCGUUAACUGAAUACAUAGGUUAACGAGGCGAACCGGGGGAACUGAAACAUCUAAGUACCCCGAGGAAAAGAAAUCAACCGAGAUUCCCCCAGUAGCGGCGAGCGAACGGGGAGCAGCCCAGAGUCUGAAUCAGCUUGUGUGUUAGUGGAACGGUCUGGAAAGUCCGACGGUACAGGGUGAUAGUCCCGUACACCAAAAUGCACAGGCUGUGAACUCGAAGAGUAGGGCGGGACACGUGGUAUCCUGUCUGAAUAUGGGGGGACCAUCCUCCAAGGCUAAAUACUCCUGACUGACCGAUAGUGAACCAGUACCGUGAGGGAAAGGCGAAAAGAACCCCGGCGAGGGGAGUGAAAAAGAACCUGAAACCGUGUACGUACAAGCAGUGGGAGCCUCUUUAUGGGGUGACUGCGUACCUUUUGUAUAAUGGGUCAGCGACUUAUAUUCUGUAGCAAGGUUAACCGUAUAGGGGAGCCGCAGGGAAACCGAGUCUUAACUGGGCGUUAAGUUGCAGGGUAUAGACCCGAAACCCGGUGAUCUAGCCAUGGGCAGGUUGAAGGUUGGGUAACACUAACUGGAGGACCGAACCGACUAAUGUUGAAAAAUUAGCGGAUGACUUGUGGCUGGGGGUGAAAGGCCAAUCAAACCGGGAGAUAGCUGGUUCUCCCCGAAAGCUAUUUAGGUAGCGCCUCGUGAACUCAUCUUCGGGGGUAGAGCACUGUUUCGGCUAGGGGGUCAUCCCGACUUACCAACCCGAUGCAAACUACGAAUACCGAAGAAUGUUAUCACGGGAGACACACGGCGGGUGCUAACGUCCGUCGUGAAGAGGGAAACAACCCAGACCGCCAGCUAAGGUCCCAAAGUCAUGGUUAAGUGGGAAACGAUGUGGGAAGGCCCAGACAGCCAGGAUGUUGGCUUAGAAGCAGCCAUCAUUUAAAGAAAGCGUAAUAGCUCACUGGUCGAGUCGGCCUGCGCGGAAGAUGUAACGGGGCUAAACCAUGCACCGAAGCUGCGGCAGCGACACUAUGUGUUGUUGGGUAGGGGAGCGUUCUGUAAGCCUGUGAAGGUGGCCUGUGAGGGCUGCUGGAGGUAUCAGAAGUGCGAAUGCUGACAUAAGUAACGAUAAAGCGGGUGAAAAGCCCGCUCGCCGGAAGACCAAGGGUUCCUGUCCAACGUUAAUCGGGGCAGGGUGAGUCGACCCCUAAGGCGAGGCCGAAAGGCGUAGUCGAUGGGAAACAGGUUAAUAUUCCUGUACUUGGUGUUACUGCGAAGGGGGGACGGAGAAGGCUAUGUCAUCCGGGCGACGGUUGUCCCGGUUUAAGCAUGUAGGCUGGUUAUCCAGGCAAAUCCGGAUAAUCAAGGCUGAGGUGUGAUGACGAGGUACCACGGUACUGAAGUGACAGAUGCCCUGCUUCCAGGAAAAGCCUCUAAGCAUCAGGUAACAUCAAAUCGUACCCCAAACCGACACAGGUGGUCAGGUAGAGAAUACCAAGGCGCUUGAGAGAACUCGGGUGAAGGAACUAGGCAAAAUGGUGCCGUAACUUCGGGAGAAGGCACGCUGGUGUGUAGGUGAAGUCCCUGCGGAUGGAGCUGAGACCAGUCGAAGAUACCAGCUGGCUGCAACUGUUUAUUAAAAACACAGCACUGUGCAAACACGAAAGUGGACGUAUACGGUGUGACGCCUGCCCGGUGCCGGAAGGUUAAUUGAUGGGGUUAUCCGUAAGGAGAAGCUCUUGAUCGAAGCCCCGGUAAACGGCGGCCGUAACUAUAACGGUCCUAAGGUAGCGAAAUUCCUUGUCGGGUAAGUUCCGACCUGCACGAAUGGCGUAAUGAUGGCCAGGCUGUCUCCACCCGAGACUCAGUGAAAUUGAACUCGCUGUGAAGAUGCAGUGUACCCGCGGCAAGACGGAAAGACCCCGUGAACCUUUACUAUAGCUUGACACUGAACAUUGAGCCUUGAUGUGUAGGAUAGGUGGGAGGCUUUGAAGCGUGGACGCCAGUCUGCGUGGAGCCAACCUUGAAAUACCACCCUUUAAUGUUUGAUGUUCUAACGUUGGCCCCUUAUCGGGGUUGCGGACAGUGUCUGGUGGGUAGUUUGACUGGGGCGGUCUCCUCCCAAAGCGUAACGGAGGAGCACGAAGGUUAGCUAAUCCUGGUCGGACAUCAGGAGGUUAGUGCAAUGGCAUAAGCUAGCUUGACUGCGAGCGUGACGGCGCGAGCAGGUGCGAAAGCAGGUCAUAGUGAUCCGGUGGUUCUGAAUGGAAGGGCCAUCGCUCAACGGAUAAAAGGUACUCCGGGGAUAACAGGCUGAUACCGCCCAAGAGUUCAUAUCGACGGCGGUGUUUGGCACCUCGAUGUCGGCUCAUCACAUCCUGGGGCUGAAGUAGGUCCCAAGGGUAUGGCUGUUCGCCAUUUAAAGUGGUACGCGAGCUGGGUUUAGAACGUCGUGAGACAGUUCGGUCCCUAUCUGCCGUGGGCGCUGGAGAAUUGAGGGGGGCUGCUCCUAGUACGAGAGGACCGGAGUGGACGCAUCACUGGUGUUCGGGUUGUCAUGCCAAUGGCACUGCCCGGUAGCUAAAUGCGGAAGAGAUAAGUGCUGAAAGCAUCUAAGCACGAAACUUGCCCCGAGAUGAGUUCUCCCUGAGACUAUAAGUCUCCUGAAGGAACGUUGAAGACGACGACGUUGAUAGGCCGGGUGUGUAAGCGCAGCGAUGCGUUGAGCUAACCGGUACUAAUGAACCGUGAGGCUUAACCU
rnacentral:rRNA from 1 species